GGUGAAUUUUCCGCAAUGGGCGAAAGCCUGACGGAGCAAUACCGCGUGAGGGAAGAAGGCUCUUGGGUUGUAAACCUCUUUUCUUAGGGAAGAAAAAAAUGACGGUACCUAAGGAAUAAGCAUCGGCUAACUCCGUGCCAGCAGCCGCGGUAAUACGGAGGAUGCAAGCGUUAUCCGGAAUGAUUGGGCGUAAAGCGUCCGCAGGUGGCAAGUCAAGUUUGCGGUUAAAGGUUCUGGCUCAACCAGAGACAGGCCGUGAAAACUGACUAGCUAGAGUAUGGUAGGGGCAGAGGGAAUUCCCAGUGUAGCGGUGAAAUGCGUAGAGAUUGGGAAGAACACCGGUGGCGAAAGCGCUCUGCUAGGCCAAAACUGACACUGAGGGACGAAAGCUAGGGGAGCGAAUGGGAUUAGAUACCCCAGUAGUCCUAGCCGUAAACGAUGGAUACUAGGUGUAGCUUGUAUCGACCCAAGCUGUGCCGUAGCUAACGCGUUAAGUAUCC
rnacentral:rRNA from 1 species